rnacentral:tRNA from 1 species
GGCUUCAUAGUUCAGUUAGUUAGAGCGUCGCAUCGCGAGGUCACGGGCUCAAACCCCGUUGAAGUCC